rnacentral:lncRNA from 1 species
UGGGGUAGAGAUGUAGCAUCAAACAUUCAUGGAUGUCCAGGGAGCGCGGGCCCAUAGGAUGCUGGCCAGAGGUACUAGGAAGGCGCAGGAGCCGGACGAGGAUGCAUCUUCUUUCCCUGCCUUGGAAAGGGGCUGUUCACAAUGUAUGCUGGACCAUGGUGAGUCCUGAGGUGGUCACAACAGAAGCUUGCCUUGGGCCCAUCUGUCUCCUGCUGCUGUCCACAAGAUGGAGAAGGCGGAAGCAACCUGAGGAGGCCUCUUUGUCUGACACCUCUGCUGAAGUACUGUUAUACAGUGGCUAUUUAAACAUCUAUUGAUGGAGUAAUUUGAAGUCUGCUAUUGUCAGCUCUCCUCAAAGCUGGGCCAUUGAGUAGAUGGGUGCUCUUUGUGCCCAAAGAAACAGCAGCAGGUGAAGGGAUGGAGCAGGAAAUGGUAUCCGCAUCAUAGGAAAGUCAAGCCAACUCCCUGGAGGCAGCUCCAGGGAAAGCAAGUUUUGUUACAUGUGAUUGUCUAAGAAGAUACAUUCGAAGUCUAAAGAAGAUUGCUUUUAACUGGGUAGCAAUG